rnacentral:rRNA from 1 species
UGGGGAAUAUUGCACAAUGGGCGAAAGCCUGAUGCAGCAACGCCGCGUGAGUGAUGAAGGCCUUCGGGUUGUAAAGCUCUGUCUUCUGGGACGAUAAUGACGGUACCAGAGGAGGAAGCCACGGCUAACUACGUGCCAGCAGCCGCGGUAAUACGUAGGUGGCAAGCGUUGUCCGGAUUUACUGGGCGUAAAGGAUGCGUAGGCGGAUACUUAAGUCAGAUGUGAAAAUCCCGGGCUUAACUUGGGAACUGCAUUUGAAACUGGGUAUCUAGAGUGCGGGAGAGGAAAGUGGAAUUCCUAGUGUAGCGGUGAAAUGCGUAGAGAUUAGGAAGAACACCAGUGGCGAGGGCGACUUUCUGGACCGUAACUGACGCUGAGGCAUGAAAGCGUGGGGAGCAAACA